AGUGAACGCUGGCGGUAGGCCUAACACAUGCAAGUCGAACGGCAGCACAGUAAGAGCUUGCUCUUACGGGUGGCGAGUGGCGGACGGGUGAGGAAUACAUCGGAAUCUACUUUUUCGUGGGGGAUAACGUAGGGAAACUUACGCUAAUACCGCAUACGACCUACGGGUGAAAGCAGGGGAUCUUCGGACCUUGCGCGAUUGAAUGAGCCGAUGUCGGAUUAGCUAGUUGGCGGGGUAAAGGCCCACCAAGGCGACGAUCCGUAGCUGGUCUGAGAGGAUGAUCAGCCACACUGGAACUGAGACACGGUCCAGGCUCCUACGGGAGGCAGCAGUGGGGAAUAUUGGACAAUGGGCGCAAGCCUGAUCCAGCCAUACCGCGUGGGUGAAGAAGGCCUUCGGGUUGUAAAGCCCUUUUGUUGGGAAAGAAAAGCAGCAGGUUAAUACCCCGCUGUUCUGACGGUACCCAAAGAAUAAGCACCGGCUAACAUCGUG
rnacentral:rRNA from 1 species